UGCAACCAACGUAUCAGAUUUCACGGCUAUGAAAGCCCUCGCCUCAACUGUCCAGGCGCUAAAAUGUCAGAGUGAAGUUUAGAUUGCCAGAAAGGACGUGCAUAUACAAGGACAAAGCAUGAGCUGGCCGGGGCUGUGCCUGAAUUUACUCCCAGUGAGUCAAAUGACACAAAGACAUGCUGACCAGACCAUUCAUCCAACCUGUGCAUAGAGGCCAAGGAUGCCAGCUGCCUGGGCAUUAGUUCGGACAGCUAAGAUAUACGGAUAAAAGAUUGCAAUUUAAUGGAACAGCUAGAAGUGAUUCAAGGUAAAGGAAUGAGGAGGCGUUUUGACAUAAUUAAACAUCCUCUUUUGAAGACCUGAAGCCAGGCCAGACUUAAGCCUGAGGGGGUCCCAAGAAAAGCGUAUUCCAGCACAGUUGAAGGAAAACCUCCCGCUUGGAUGCAAGGUGUGAUUAUUUGUCUGUUGUACCUCGAUGUUGUAAGAUGCAUACUUUACUAUUGUCCGCUUUCCGUAUUCAGAGGUCAAUUUUCACAACUCAGUCAAUGA